GAAAUCAGAUGGAUGACGUUCCGCUGUGUUUCGUUGACCUUAUUUCAGCUACAAGUGAGGGUGAAAAUAGUACAGACAACGGUGAACGCUAUACAAAAAAAGCUGACCUUGAUUAAUCCCCUGCAGCUAUUUCUGCAUUCCUCCGACGAGAUGAUACAUGGCUCCGACGGCCGCGCGGCUGCACAAACGCGCCACUUUUUCCUCCCCUCAUGUGGAGAAAUCAGCCCAGACGUGAGAAAACACUACCUGGCCAUUUCACCGUCAGCGCGGCAUUCAGUUGGAAAAGAAAGCCGAGACGGAGA